rnacentral:lncRNA from 1 species
CAUGGUAUAAGUCACCCUGGCUCUUGUGUUUUUCUAGAUUUUUUUUUUAAUCUCUUUUGUGAUUUUGGCUCUGUUUACUAACUGUUGCCUUUGUGCCUAGGUUCCUUCUCAGUCUCCCUGUCUGUGUGCAGUCUGCAGCUGCUUUUGAGUCCCCCUGUUCGUAACAAUUUAACAGUCCAUUUUUUUUCUGGUCUCCAUCAAUGCAAGAGGACUGUUUGGGUAACCAAAGCCUUCUUGGUCACCUACAAACUCACCACUAACCAAGCAAUGUGCCUUGAUCUUUGUGGUUUUCAUUGUUCAUGGUGUACAACCAACAACAUGUAAAAGUAUUUAUAGCCUUAUGGGACUAUGCUCUGUGGCAUGGAGACAUAUUCAGACACAUCUUGGCUGUAUUGUAUAUUAUUAUAGGUUUCCAAUGAAUGAGCAGGUUGGUAUUUUGCUCCCAUUGAAUGUGUGUUGGACAGUUUGGCUGUUUUUAAAAAGGCACUUUAUCCUGCUCAUUUGUUUUGUUCCAGCAGGACUGGAAGAGAUCAAAUCAGAGCCCAACGGCAGUUGCAUGCAGAGCAGAAAAGAUCAGAGAUCAGCUGUGGUCAACUUCCCUCAAAAGCAGACUUAAGUGUGAGAGCAACUUCGGGGACACUUUUAAAAUGUACUGGAGCGCAGCUGGGCGAAUGAGAAGCAUUGUCUAGAACCACCACGAUCAGGUCCAGUAGCCGUGUCACACCUGGAAUAUGCAGGACCCCGUAAGAAUCUGGGGUUUAAGUACACAAAAAGCUGGUGUUCAACUUAUCAAAGUACUGGAUUGGUUUCCCCUGCCUUCACCCAGCCACGAAACAACGGUUCGGGUUAGCAGAAGAGAUGAUGGUCAAAAACCUUUCAAGACAUGAUCCAGGAUCCCCAAAUCAACAACAACAUUCUUGACUUUGAUUUUAUCUCACUCAUUCUCCCUCCACUGUGGCUGCUUCUUCUUCAAGUGGGGUAACAUGUGUAUGGAAAGUUAGUCAAGUUAACGUAGGAAAACCUGUGUGUUAGUAACGAUUAUAGAGAAACACAGUGUCACAAUAACAGUGGUUCUUUUAUAGGUAAUUUUUAACAUUUUGUGCUGCAGCCUGGGCUGUUGCCCCCUGACAAAGACCUUUACAAAGAGCCAAUGCUUAACCAGCUAUUCAGCUAGCAUAAACAUUUUUCCUUGUACAAAAGCUAUUUCUCAUCCACUCCACACAAGCACAGUUAGCUGCUUCAACUAAAAGCUGUUUGUUACAAAUAGACGACAAAAAGAAUUCUGUCAGUGUGUCUAGUGUUUCUAUAUGCAGUUUAGCUUAGUUUGGUUCAUAUCCCGCAGCACAUCCUCCCUCUACUAGCAAGUACAUGCAGGCACUGAAUGACUGUCUGUGUUCUUCAUUUCUUCUAACAUCACUUUGUAUUAUGUUUUUAUAAUUAUUUACGUUAUUUU